GCCCCGGUAGCUCAGCUGGAUAGAGCAGCGGACUUCUAAUCCGCAGGUCCCUGGUUCGAGUCCAGGUCGGGGUA
rnacentral:tRNA from 1 species